rnacentral:rRNA from 1 species
UGGGGAAUAUUGCACAAUGGGCGCAAGCCUGAUGCAGCCAUGCCGCGUGUGUGAAGAAGGCCUUCGGGUUGUAAAGCACUUUCAGCGAGGAGGAAGGUGGUGAACUUAAUACGUUCAUCAAUUGACGUUACUCGCAGAAGAAGCACCGGCUAACUCCGUGCCAGCAGCCGCGGUAAUACGGAGGGUGCAAGCGUUAAUCGGAAUUACUGGGCGUAAAGCGCACGCGGGCGGUUUGUUAAGUCAGAUGUGAAAUCCCCGGGCUCAACCUGGGAACUGCAUUUGAAACUGGCAAGCUAGAGUCUCGUAGAGGGGGGUAGAAUUCCAGGUGUAGCGGUGAAAUGCGUAGAGAUCUGGAGGAAUACCGGUGGCGAAAGGCGGCCCCCCUGGACGAAGACUGACGCUCAGGUGCGAAAGCGUGGGGGAGCAAAACAGGAUUAGAUACCCUGGUAGUCCACGCUGUAAAACGAUGUCGAUUUUGGAGGUUGUGCCCCUUGAGGCGUGGCUUCCGGAGCUAACGCGUUAAAUCGACCGCCUGGGGAGUACGGCC